GGUCCGGUAGCUCAGUUGGUAGAGCGGUAGCCUGAAGAGCUGCGCGUCGGGGGUUCAAGUCCCUCUCGGACCAC
rnacentral:tRNA from 1 species